UGGCGGACGGGUGGGUAACGCGUGGGUAACCUGCCUCACACUGGGGGAGUAACAGUUAGAAAUAGCUGCUAAUACCGCAUAAGCGCACAGUUCCGCAUGGAACAGUGUGAAAAACUCCGGUGGUGUGAGAUGGACCCGCGUCUGAUUAGCCAGUUGGCGGGGUAACGGCCCACCAAAGCGACGAUCAGUAGCCGGCCUGAGAGGGUGAACGGCCACAUUGGGACUGAGACACGGCCCAGACUCCUACGGGAGGCAGCAUG
rnacentral:rRNA from 1 species